CCUACGGGUGGCAGCAGUGGGGAAUUUUGGACAAUGGGCGCAAGCCUGAUCCAGCUAUUCCGCGUGUGGGAUGACGGCCUUCGGGUUGUAAACCACUUUUGUAGAGAACGAAAAGUCUGUUGAUAAUACCGAUAGAUGAUGACGGUACUCUAAGAAUAAGCACCGGCCUACUACGUGCCAGCAGCCGCGGUAAUACGUAGGGUGCGAGCGUUAAUCGGAAUUACUGGGCGUAAAGGGUGUGCAGGCGGUUUUGCAAGAUGGAUGUGAAAGCCCCGGGCUUAACCUGGGAAAGCCCUACAUGACUGCAAGACUAGAGAGCGUCAGAGGGGGGUGGAAUUCCAAGUGUAGCAGUGAAAUGCGUAGAUAUUUGGAAGAACACCGAUGGCGAAGGCAGCCCCCUGGGACGCAACUGACGCUCAUACACGAAAGCGUGGGGAGCAAACAGGAUUAGAUACCCCAGUAGUC
rnacentral:rRNA from 1 species